rnacentral:rRNA from 1 species
GUGGAUUAGAUACCCUAGUAGUCCACGCCCUAAACGAUGUCAACUAGGUGUUGGGAGGGUUAAACCUUUUAGUACCGUAGCUAACGCGUGAAGUUGACCGCCUGGGGAGUACGGCCGCAAGGUUAAAACUCAAAGGAAUUGACGGGGACCCGCACAAGCGGUGGAUGAUGUGGAUUAAUUCGAUGCAACGCGAAAAACCUUACCUACCCUUGACAUGCCAGGAACUUGCCAGAGAUGGCUUGGUGCCCGAAAGGGAGCCUGGACACAGGUGCUGCACGGCCGUCGACAACU